CCUUUCGGGGGUACACGAGCGGCGAACGGGUGAGUAACACGUGGGUGACCUGCCCUCAGCUCUGGGAUAAGCCUGGGAAACUGGGUCUAAUACUGGAUAUGACUCCACGGCGCAUGUCGUGGGGUGGAAAGCCUUGUGCGGCUGAGGAUGGGCCCGCGGCCUAUCAGCUUGUUGGUGGGGUGAUGGCCUACCAAGCCGCCAACGGGUAGCUGGUCUGAGAGGGCGACCGGCCACACUGGGACUGAGACACGGCCCAGACUCCUACGGGAGGCAGCAGUGGGGAAUCUUGCGCAAUGGGCGCAAGCCUGAUGCAGCGACGCCGCGUGCGGGAAGAAGGCCUUCGGGUUGUAAACCGCUUUCAGGAGGGACGAAGCCACUCGGGUGAAUAGCCCAGAGGGUGACGGUACCUCCAGAAGAAGCCCCGGCUAACUACGUGCCAGCAGCCGCGGUAAUACGUAGGGGGCAAGCGUUGUCCGGAUUUAUUGGGCGUAAAGAGCGUGUAGGCGGCCAGGUAGGUCGGUUGUGAAAACUGGAGGCUCAACCUUCAGACGUCGACCGAAACCAUCUGGCUAGAGUCCGGAAGAGGAGAGUGGAAUUCCUGGUGUAGCGGUGAAAUGCGCAGAUAUCAGGAAGAACACCCGUGGCGAAGGCGGCUCUCUGGGACGGUACUGACGCUGAGACGCGAAAACGUGGGGAGCGAACAGGAUUAGAUACCCUGGUAGUCCACGCCGUAAACGAUGAGUGCUAGGUGUGGGAGGUGUCGACUCCUUCCGUGCCGAAGCUAACGCAUUAAGCACCCCGCCUGGAGAGUACGGCCGCAAGGCUAAAACUCAAAGGAAUUGAC
rnacentral:rRNA from 1 species